rnacentral:rRNA from 1 species
CAGUAGCCACGGUAAUACGAAGGGGGCUAGCGUUGCUCGGAAUCACUGGGCGUAAAGGGUGCGUAGGCGGGUCUUUAAGUCAGGGGUGAAAUCCUGGAGCUCAACUCCAGAACUGCCUUUGAUACUGAAGAUCUUGAGUUCGGGAGAGGUGAGUGGAACUGCGAGUGUAGAGGUGAAAUUCGUAGAUAUUCGCAAGAACACCAGUGGCGAAGGCGGCUCACUGGCCCGAUACUGACGCUGAGGCACGAAAGCGUGGGGAGCAAACAGGAUUAGAUACCCGAGUAGUCCCUGUCUCUUAUAC